ACAUAUAUGGUACCGCACCGGACGGGUUUCAAGCCGGGAUCUCGCUCGUCGAUUUCCCCACCUUUUCCAGGCGAGUCUUCGACUAUAA
rnacentral:sRNA from 1 species